rnacentral:rRNA from 1 species
GAUGAACGCUGGCGGCGUGCCUAAUACAUGCAAGUCGAGCGAACAGAUAAGGAGCUUGCUCCUUUGACGUUAGCGGCGGACGGGUGAGUAACACGUGGAUAACCUACCUAUAAGACUGGGAUAACUUCGGGAAACCGGAGCUAAUACCGGAUAACAUAUUGAACCGCAUGGUUCAAUAGUGAAAGGCGGCUUUGCUGUCACUUAUAGAUGGAUCCGCGCCGUAUUAGCUAGUUGGUAAGGUAACGGCUUACCAAGGCAACGAUACGUAGCCGACCUGAGAGGGUGAUCGGCCACAAUGGAACUGAGACACGGUCCAGACUCCUGCGGGAGGCAGCAGUAGGGAAUCUUCCGCAAUGGGCGAAAGCCUGACGGAGCAACGCCGCGUGAGUGAUGAAGGUCUUCGGAUCGUAAAACUCUGUUAUCAGGGAAGAACAAAUGUGUAAGUAACUGUGCACAUCUUGACGGUACCUGAUCAGAAAGCCACGGCUAACUACGUG